UCUUCGGCGUGCCCCCCUCUGGCUUAGCCCGCCAGUAAUAUUACUUGUUUAUAAAGAGGAAGGAUGAUAGGCGGAAUGAGAGAGAUCGAGAAGAUGGGAGGGGUUUCAGUUUCAUGGAAGUCGCCGAUACUGGAAGGAGCAUACGACGUGUGCGGAUGGCUGGCCUUCAUGUUCUGCUCCGGCUGCUCUUGAAUUUCCGCAGGAAAAGAGCGUGGUGGCUGUGAACUUCAACUAUGCACUGAUGAACAACACCAAGCGUACUGUGUCUUUCAUUCACGCCCCUUGCUUCUACUUAAGCCCCGAGGUUCAGUUUCAGUACCGAUCCAAACAUGGAUUCCACCAGAUGAUACAAGGCGCAGCGAACGGCGCGGCGUUAUAAUUGAACGCUGUCGUAUUGACCCUCUCCUUCUCUACUUCCUCCUACCAAAAUAUAAUUGCAGGUAUCAAUGUUGUUCGACGGGGAGUUCAUGUGCCAACAUUAUUUGAUGUACCCGAACAAAAAAGAAUCCCAUUCCUCCAAGUUGGAUCUACGGACCGCAGAACCACUGUUGAGUGGAGGAAGACAUUUCUAUUUACGAUUCAUGUAUUAUAUAAAAAGCCAAUUGGUAAAUGGUAGGAGUAUGUAAAGAAGUCCAUCACUUGUUGCUGCCACAGCUGGGUCACUAAACACGUACAAAUUAAUGUUUGUUUAUUGACGACGUACGCAUCAAUUACACUCAGAUUUCUUGGUCA